GACAGAGGUGCCAAGCGUUAGGCGGAAUCACUGGGCUUAAAGCGUGUGUAGGUGGAAGCGUAAGUACCUUGUGAAAUCCCACGGCUUAACCGUGGAACUGCUUGGUAUACUGCGUUUCUUGAGCCAACUAGGGGCUAUCGGAACAAGUGGUGGAGCGGUGAAAUGCGUAGAUAUUCGCAAGAACACCAGUGGCGAAGGCGGCUCACUGGCCCGGAACUGACGCUGAGGAGCGAAAGCGUGGGGAGCAAACAGG
rnacentral:rRNA from 1 species